CAGCCAUUUCACGUUGAAACACCGGUUCUCGUACGCUCGCCAAAGUUAAGCAACGCCGAGCUCGCUCAGUACCUAGAUGGGUGACCGCUUGAAAAUACCGGGUGCUGUAAG